GAGAGUGUGAAGCCACAGAGCCGUCAGGGAAUGGGGCUGCAGGUGCGCAGGCAAUUCAGACCAGGCAGUGCUUCCUCCUAGGCUUUGUAUUAAACACUGACGUGGGUAUUCCAAGAGAUCUGUGAGGUGCGCAGUGUUACCUUUCCCACGUCAUAGGUGAGAUGACCUGACCCGCCCAAAGUUGUCCAGCUUAUCAGUGGCCUUGACUCCAGAGCCAGCAACUCAGACUGAACAGCCAUUUUCUCUACCUCUCACAGCAAAAGUUACUGCCCCCAACGUGAACUACCAGGGAGCCUGAUGUAGGCCCAGUGCAUG